UUACGGCCAUAACAUAUUGAAACACUAGUUCUCGUAGGACCACUAAAGUUAAGCAACGUCGAACCUGGUCAGUACCUAGAUGGGUGAUAGCUUGGGAGUAGCAGGGGCUGUACG